UGGGGAAUAUUGCACAAUGGGCGAAAGCCUGAUGCAGCAACGCCGCGUGGGGGAUGACGGCCUUCGGGUUGUAAACCCCUUUCAGCUCCGACGAAGCGAAAGUGACGGUAGGAGCAGAAGAAGCACCGGCCAACUACGUGCCAGCAGCCGCGGUAAUACGUAGGGUGCAAGCGUUGUCCGGAAUUACUGGGCGUAAAGAGCUCGUAGGCGGCUUGUCGCGUCGGCUGUGAAAUCCCGGGGCUCAACCCCGGGCCUGCAGCCGAUACGGGCAAGCUAGAAUUCGGUAGGGGAGACUGGAAUUCCUGGUGUAGCGGUGAAAUGCGCAGAUAUCAGGAGGAACACCGGUGGCGAAGGCGGGUCUCUGGGCCGAUAUUGACGCUGAGGAGCGAAAGCGUGGGGAGCGAACAGG
rnacentral:rRNA from 2 species